rnacentral:rRNA from 1 species
GACGUAGGGCGCGAGCGUUGUUCGGAAUUACUGGGCGUAAAGGGCGCGUAGGCGGCCCUCUAAGUCAGACGUGAAAUCCCUCGGCUCAACCGGGGAACUGCGUCUGAGACUGGAAGGCUUGAAUUCGGGAGAGGGAUGUGGAAUUCCUGGUGUAGCGGUGAAAUGCGCAGAUAUCAGGAGGAACACCGAUGGCGAAGGCAGGUCUCUGGGCCACUACUGACGCUGAGAAGCGAAAGCAUGGGGAGCGAACAGG